CCAACGGUUUUACCCGUUGGGCCGAUUCAAUUUUUCCCAAAAAAAUCGGAGGGAGCCCGCGCCCCAGCCCCAAAAUUUAUUUUCCCCCAAAUAAUUUCGAUCUCUCUCCCUCUCUGCUUCCCUCCCUUCCUCUCUCUCGCCAAAUCCAUCGUCGCUCUCCUCUCGUCGUCGCCGGAGCUCUCUCGCCGCCUCCCCCCCUCUCUCGUCGUCACCGGAGCUCUCUCGUCGCCAAAACCAGCGCCGCCCUCCUCCUCUCGUUGUCGUCGUCGGAGCUCUCUCGCCGCCUCCCUCCCUUUCUCGUCGCCAAAAAGCGCUGCCCUCCCUCCCUUCUCGUCUUGUUGUAUAGCUAAACCUCCUAAAGUUUUUAAUUCGUUUUUCUUAUUAAUUUUGAUUUAAUUCAACGAUCUAUUAAUCUUGAUUUUCGUCUUGUUAUUGAUUUAUUUGAAAUUACGGGAAGUGGGAGGUAGAUUUCGCCCUUUCUCGGAGAUCACCGGAGUCUGCCCUCGCUACAAAGAUCAGAUACUGGAAAUACAAGCCCCUCGUGGAGUCGUCCAAAAGGUAGCACACAAGUGGUUCCCAGGAGUUCAUCCUCUUCGCUGUUCGCACCGUCGCCAAGCGAACGCAGCCUGGCCAGCGCCAAUCCGUUCAGCAUGAAGUUUCAUUCAUUUUAGAGUAAUAUUGUUGCAUCUGGAGGUCUUGGUGGGGAGGUCUUUAUAUGGGACAUUGAAGCAGCACUUCUUCCGGUUACCAAGUCUGUCGAUGCUGCUGAAGAUUGUCCGUCUUCAUUGCAGGUGGAUUGGAGCCGUCAGCGAGUUUCUUUCUGUUUUACACUCUAGCCCAUACAUUCAUGGACAACAACAGAUAGAGAGUACUGGGGUUCAUUCUUCUCUCGAGUCUUCAAUCGAUAAGUUCCCCUACAUAAACAUCAUGGAAGAUGGACUGGUUACUGCAUUGAUUAAUGAUGAACCAAACAAUAACGAAGCAACAGCUUUACUCGAUGCUCGAACCAAACUCCAUUGUUGUUCCCCAUUGUCUCCAAAACUGGUCAUUGUUGUCAAUAAAAAAAAAGUCCUCCCUCAUUCCUUCAUUGAAGAAAGACGCCAUCAGGGAACAUCCAAGCAACCAAGAAGAGGAAUAAAGGCACGCCAUUCUUGUAAAGCUUUCGCUGAUUAUUUUCGAUUAAGUCAGUCGUGACUUGUACUUUUAAUUAACAUACUUAAGACAUUUGUAUAUUUGAGAUAUCCUCUUUAUGUUUGGGACUUGAGUAAUUUAUAAGUUGUAUUCUGAUUCUA